UUUUUUGACUGGUUAUACACUACUAACACUGUGCUAGCAUGAAUCUUUCUAAGAUCCAGAAUCUGACAAUGGUAUCCUUUUCUGGGGGGUAUUAGCACUGUUAGCCAGCUCAUAGCUGUUUAGAGACUCCCUCACCCAGUGUCAGCAUGAAAUGAGACCAUUCUCCAGGAGGUCUGGACACACCACUUGGAUAGUAAGGCUGUGAUUUGCACAUUCCCUGAAAAGCCAUGGCUUCCAGCACUGCUCCUCUGCUUGCUGCCAAGGAUUUGGGGAGUAUAGACUCAGAUGUAGAAUGGUUCCUCUCUGCUCUGAUCUGUGAAACAGGCCUCAUGUCCUUGCUCUCUACCACUUUUCUACCAUGCUCUCAUAGAAACUAUGCCUCCUUGUCAGAGUCUGGCUCCAUCACAUGUGCAUAAUGCAUGCUGAGAUAAUGAGAAUAAUUUGCCAGGAUGGCCAUACUUUGCUCAUGACCUCUGGGAGUUGGCAGAUGCUUCAGGGAUUUUAUAUCCACAGGGGGCGAGUAUUAUAAUCUGAUCCUUUUUGCCAUGUUAGUGGGCAAAUGACAUGUGAUCAUAUCACAAUUUCUCCUUCUUUCAGGCUUGCUGAAUCUUCAUAUACAGCAGCAGGGCUCCCUAGAGGCAUGGCUGCAUUGAAUGCAACGUUUAUCAGACUCUGACCCACAGGCAAUCCCCACAAAUGGGACUUUCGAGUGAAAUUUCACUUGUCCUUAGUGUGAUGUCUCCAUGAAGCGAAUUCAUUCUGGUGACAGUUUGCAGAGGUUUCAACAGAAGCCUUUAGCAUUGAGGACAGAGCUGCAGAACAGGGAAUAAGCUACCUUGUUACCUUGCUUGUUCGGAGGAAAAGUCAUGGAGUUAUUGCUGAACAAUUGAUUCCUGUUUAUGCUAAAGCCUGAGAGUGGGAAAUGCACUUAAAUGGAACCAAAUAAAAACAUUAUAACAUUUUCUAGUCCAAAA
rnacentral:lncRNA from 1 species